GAUGAACGCUGGCGGCGUGCCUAAUACAUGCAAGUCGAGCGAACGGACGAGAAGCUUGCUUCUCUGAUGUUAGCGGCGGACGGGUGAGUAACACGUGGAUAACCUACCUAUAAGACUGGGAUAACUUCGGGAGACCGGAUCUAACACCGGAUGAUAUUUUGAACCGCAUGGUUCAAAAGUGAAAGACGGUCUUGCUGUCACUUAUAGAUGGAUCCGCGCUGCAUUAGCUAGUUGGUAAGGUAACGGCUUACCAAGGCAACGAUGCAUAGCCGACCUGAGAGGGUGAUCGGCCACACUGGAACUGAGACACGGUCCAGACUCCUACGGGAGGCAGCAGUAGGGAAUCUUCCGCAAUGGGCGAAAGCCUGACGGAGCAACGCCGCGUGAGUGAUGAAGGUCUUCGGAUCGUAAAACUCUGUUAUUAGGGAAGAACAUAUGUGUAAGUAACUGUGCACAUCUUGACGGUACCUAAUCAGAAAGCCACGGCUAACUACGUG
rnacentral:rRNA from 1 species